AAUAAACGCUGGCGGCGUGCUUAACACAUGCAAGUCGAGCGAGAAAGGUCUUCGGACUGAGUAAAGCGGCAAACGGGUGAGUAACGCGUAGGAAUCUGCCUUUCAGUGAGGAAUACCCUCGAGAAAUCGAGGUUAAUACUGCAUACGUCUUGAAAAAGAGAAAGAUGGCCUCUUUGCUGUCGCUGAAAGAUGAGCCUGCGUACUAUUAGCUAGUUGGUAGGGUAAAGGCCUACCAAGGCGAUGAUGGUUAGCCGGCCUGAGAGGGUGUGCGGCCACACUGGAACUUAGACACGGUCCAGACUCCUACGGGAGGCAGCAGUGAGGAAUAUUGCGCAAUGGGCGAAAGCCUGACGCAGCGACGCCGCGUGGAGGAUGAAGGUCUUCGGAUUGUAAACUUCUGUUAAGCGGGAAGAAAAGCGAUGCUCUAAUACAGCAUUGACAUGACGGUACCGCUAGAGAAAGCACCGGCUAACUUCGUGCCAGCCGCCGCGGUAAUAC
rnacentral:rRNA from 1 species